AAAUUGAAGAGUUUGAUCAUGGCUCAGAUUGAACGCUGGCGGCAGGCCUAACACAUGCAAGUCGAGCGGUAGCACAGAGAGUUUGCUCUCGGGUGACGAGCGGCGGACGGGUGAGUAAUGUCUGGGAAACUGCCUGAUGGAGGGGGAUAACUACUGGAAACGGUAGCUAAUACCGCAUAACGUCGCAAGACCAAAGUGGGGGACCUUCGGGCCUCAUGCCAUCAGAUGUGCCCAGAUGGGAUUAGCUAGUAGGUGGGGUAACGGCUCACCUAGGCGACGAUCCCUAGCUGGUCUGAGAGGAUGACCAGCCACACUGGAACUGAGACACGGUCCAGACUCCUACGGGAGGCAGCAGUGGGGAAUAUUGCACAAUGGGCGCAAGCCUGAUGCAGCCAUGCCGCGUGUGUGAAGAAGGCCUUCGGGUUGUAAA
rnacentral:rRNA from 1 species